GGACCCGCACAAGCGGUGGAGCAUGUGGUUUAAUUCGAUGCAACGCGAAAAACCUUACCUACACUUGACAUACUUGGAAUCUUUUGUAAUGAAAGAGUGCCUUUUGGAGCCAAGAUACAGGUGCUGCAUGGCUGUCGUCAGCUCGUGUCGUGAGAUGUUGGGUUAAGUCCCAUAACGAGCGCAACCCUUACCCUUAUUUGCCAGCGAUUCGGUCGGGAACUAUAAGGGGACUGCCGGUGAUAAACCGGAGGAAGGUGAGGACGACGUCAAGUCAUCAUGGCCCUUACGUGUAGGGCUACACACGUGCUACAAUGGGGAGUACAGAUAGACGCUAAAGCGCGAGCUGGUGCUAAUCUCAUAAAACUCUUCGUAGUCCGGAUUGCAGUCUGCAACUCGACUGCAUGAAGUCGGAAUCGCUAGUAAUCGC
rnacentral:rRNA from 1 species